AACGAACGCUGGCGGCAGGCCUAACACAUGCAAGUCGAGCGCUCACCUUCGGGUGGGAGCGGCGCACGGGUGAGUAACACGUGGGAACCUACCUUGAAGUACGGAAUAACUGAGGGAAACUUCAGCUAAUACCGUAUACGCCCUACGGGGGAAAGAUUUAUCGCUUCAGGACGGGCCCGCGUUGGAUUAGCUAGUUGGGGAGGUAAUGGCUCACCAAGGCAACGAUCCAUAGCUGGUUUGAGGGAAUGAUCAGCCACACUGGGACUGAGACACUGCCCAGUCUCCUCCGGGAGGAGGGGGUGGGGAUUAUUGGACAAGGGGAGGAGGCCUGUUCCACCCAGGCCGGGUGAGUGUGGAAGGCCUUCGGGUUGUAAAGCUCUUGCAGAUGGAAGGGUGAUGACGGUACCAUCAGAAGAAGCCCCGGCUAACUUCGUGCCAGCCGCCGCCGUAACAC
rnacentral:rRNA from 1 species